UCUACCAUCAAGCAUUAGAAAUCGGGAUAGCUUGCUAUGGUAUCCCAAUUAAAUCAGGGGCCCCACUGCAAAGGAAAGCAAGUACAAGAAUGGGCUAAGAACAAAGCAUAGUAAGAUACAAAGGACUUACACCUACAAGCCCAACCAUGUCUGGGUCAAAUGAAAGGUGCAAUGGCUUACUCAAGCAGAAGCUGACUAAUAAGCCUGAUAUAAAAGCUUGGACGAAACCAGUCUGGGAGGUGGCAAGAUCUCUAAACCAUAAAUAUGGAAAGAAUAGAAAAACUCCUAUCGCAUUAAUAUUGCAAGCACCUCUACAGAUAAGACCACUGACAAACUCCAGAAUCUAAACUAGAAGGAAAACAUUUUAAAAAAACAUAAUGGUAUAUAUAUAUAGUACUAGGAAAAUUAUGGUACCUGCCAUCAAUACAACCUACUGGAUGACUGAAGACAAAACUACAUUACAUCACAUUAAAGAAAGUAAUAUGAUGACUCUGAAAAUGGCAGGCAUGAGAACACCAUCUUUAUUGUAUUGACACCAGACGCCUGAUAUUUAGCCUCGCAGGAUGGAGGGCGACUAUGCUAGAGGGAAUAUAGGCAAAAACGGACGUCAUACUGGUAGAUAUCCUUGGGUGGCAAGAACAACGAGAAGGAAUUAAAAAUGCCAAGGAAACUAUUUUUAUUUUGCAGGCAUGAAUCCACGAUGCAUCUUUAACCCUACCAAGAUUACUAACGGGUCAGUGCAGCAUGCUGCCUGCUGCCCAUACUCCGUUGCCUAUCGCUCCCUGUUGGAUACCAUAGUCAUUACAGCUAUGGAUACUCCUCUGAUGGCUCCAGCAAUAGGAGCUGUGCCAGUGUUCUGAACUGGAAUGCCACUUUCUGGUCCGGCACAACUCCACUGUCUGUGACAUCCUCCGCAUUCUCCAGAGAUCACUAGUCUAGUCACCUUAUUGCAACGGAGGACUCAUCAACAUCACCGGCAUCAACCAACCCAGCCUCUGCACCCCAUCCUUCGCUGUCAGCACUAUCUACUCACCGGGAAAGCUUCAAUCAGUAGAGACACCAAAUACUUAGGGAAGCUGAUGAAGCAGUGGUGACCUCCAUUUUAAUCUCCACAAGAACCAUCAAGGAUACUGAACAACAACUCUAUUAGACAUUGACUUGGAGGAUGAAGACUGGCCUGAACUACUAACUGGCUUUUGGUAUCAUAACCCAGCACAUAUAUUUCAUCAACCAGAAAAAGAACAAAGAUCCAUGCCUGCCCCAACAACAAUGCACCAACCACCACCUGAAGCCAAGGAGAAACUUCUGUAACCUGGAACACUUGUCCUUUUCCAGAGAACUUUAAAAAAUAAAAACCUUCGCAAUUUCCUCCAAAAACUGAAUAAAAACUGACCGUCCCUUUGUCUCUUCA